GAUCGAAUGACUCGUUGUCUUCUCAGACAACGUCUCUCGGAAUCUUCUAAGGCACAAAUUGCACGAAGCAUAAUCCACUCGUCCGCCAUGAUUAAAAUUAAUCAAACACCGCUCCCGUUUUGCUAUCUCGACUGUCCGAGACAAGCGAGUAGCCGUGAGAAGCGUGUUCAGUGUCGAGACUACCGUUUUAAGAUCGCCUACCGUGUUGAUAUCACGUGACACUGCAACACGCUACUCGAAAAACUCGAGACUACGGCCCCUGAAAUUCAAAUUAAUAUCGUCCAUACGUUUUUAUUACGUGUCCAGUGACACUUUGUAACUCGGUUUUUAAAGCUGCAAGCACUGGUGUAAGAUUAUCAA
rnacentral:lncRNA from 1 species